GGUCCCAUGGUUUAGUGGUUAGGAUAUUGGACUUUGAAUCUAGAAACCUAAGUUUAAAUCUUGGUGGGACCU
rnacentral:tRNA from 1 species